GUCUAGUUAGCCUGGUGGAAAGGCUAUGGAUCGCCAAUCCGGAGAAGGUGGGUUCGAUUCCCGUUCCAGUCU
rfam:Aedes albopictus isolate Foshan contig127135, whole genome shotgun sequence.